AGACACCGAGUUAAAGAAGGAAGGGCUUUAUUCGGCUGGGAGCUUCAGCAAGACUCACGUCUCCAACAACCGAGCUCCCCGAGCGAGCAAUUCCUGUCCCUUUUAAGGGCUCACAACUCUAAGGGGGUGCAUGUGAGAGGGUCGUGAUUGAUUGAGCAAGCAGGGGGUAUUAUGUGACACGGGAACUUUCAGAAAAUGAAGACCCAAAGGAACAGGAGAUCUGUGGAUUUUCAUGGACAGUCAUCUGUGGAUUUUCAAGGACAGUCAUGCAGAAGCAUACUUGGAGAAUGCGGAUUAUCUUGAGGUUCUAGGGGCUAAGUCCAUGUUUGAGUGAAAGCUAUAAGAGAGCUAAUGAGCACAGAAUCUAGAAAAGAAAAUAGGGCUUGACCAUUAGGGAGAAAACAUAUGGAUCCAAAUGAUACCCUCGAUACCAAGAUUUCUUGGAUCCAUCAUGAACAUUCCAAAGCUUAUGGAAGAGCUGUAGGUCAUAGGACGGCUGGAGAAGGAGAAGAGAAGCUUAUUGGAUACAACUUCUGAAUUAGAGACAGGCUUUAUGUUCAGGCUCAUUUCUCCUAUCCAUUUUGAAAAUGGCUCAAUUUAAAAAAAAAAAUUAUUUUUAAGUUCAGAAGUACAUUUGUGCCAGGGGGAUUUGUUGUGCAGACUAUUUUGUCACCCAGUUAUUGAGCCUAGUGCCCGUUAGUUAUUUUUCAUGAUCCUCUCCCUCCUCCCACCCUCCACCCUCCAAUAGGCCCCAAUGUCUAUUGUUCCCCUCUAUGUGUCCAUGUGUUCUCAUCAUUUAGCUCCCACUUAUAAGUGAGAACAUGCAGUAUUUGGUUUUCUGUUCCUGCUUUAGUUUGCUAAGGAUAAAGGCCUCCAGCUCCAUCCAUGUUCCUGCAAAGGACAUGAUCUUGUUCUUUUUCAUAGCUGCAUAGUAUUCCAUGAUGUAUAUGUACCACAUUUUCUUUAUCCAAUCUACUAUUGAUGGGCACUUAGGUUGAAUAUAUGUCUCUUUUCUUAUGAACAGUGCUGCAAUGAAGAUACAUGUGCACAUGUCUUUAUGAUAGAAUGAUUUAUAUUCCUUUGGGUAUAUUCCUGUUAAUGGGAUUGCUGUGUGGAAUGGUAUUUCUGUUUUUAGGUCUCUGAGGAAUCGCCACACUGUCUUCCACAAUGACUGAACUAAUUUACAUUCCCACCAAUAGUGUGUAAGUGUUCCUUUUUCUCUGCAACCUCACCAGCAUCUGUUAUUUUUUGACUUUUUAAUAAUAGCCUGUAAGGAACAUGGCUGUGGUUUGUUCAAGGAUAGGCCAAGGUAGGAUGUUUGCAUUCUGUGUGACUUGCGAGUUUAGAGUGCACGCAUAUAACUCCACUUGUUAUCACAGCCAUGUAGCCAUAACAUGGGAAGGCCAUCCCUUGCUCUAAGCCAGUAUUGUUUGCAAAAGGUAUAAUUGUCCUGCUGACACUGUACAGGUGCGCUGGCACCCAGAGAGAGAGAGAGAGCCAGAGGGGUCUGUCUUUGUAGAUAGACAGGAGUGAGCCAGGACACAGCUCAGCUCACUUGUGCCCAGAGAGAGAGAGUUAAGCUGCUGACCCUGAAGGCAAGGGAGGGCCGGCGGUGCAGCUGUGUGUGUGGGAGCUGCUGAACUAAGCAACUGAGACAGGGCAGACAGUGUGAGAUAGCUAGUGUGAGAAAGCUGUUAAUGAAAACUGCUGCUGAAUAAAGCCAUGUCUCAUC